UAGGGAGUUUUCGGCAAUGGGGGAAACCCUGACCGAGCAACGCCGCGUGAGUGAUGACGGUCCUAUGGAUUGUAAAGCUCUGUUGUAAAGGACGAAUGGUAGAUUUAGGAAAUGAUUUCUACUUGACUGUACUUUACCAGAAAGCCACGGCUAACUACGUGCCAGCAGCCGCGGUAAUACGUAGGUGGCAAGCGUUAUCCGGAAUUAUUGGGCGUAAAGAGGGAGCAGGUGGUUGUAUAAGUCUGAAGUCAAAUACUGUGGCUUAACCAUAGUCAGCUUUGGAAACUGUAUAACUAGAGUGCGAGAGAGGUAAGUGGAAUUCCAUGUGUAGCGGUGAAAUGCGUAGAUAUAUGGAGGAACACCAGUGGCGAAGGCGGCUUACUAGCUCGAUACUGACACUCAGUCCCGAAAGCGUGGGUAGCAAAUAGG
rnacentral:rRNA from 1 species